GGCUCAGAGUGAACGCUGGCGGCGUGCUUAACACAUGCAAGUCGAACGAGAACGGAUUAUAGCUUGCUAUUAAUUGUCAGCUAAGGUGGCGCACGGGUGAGUAAUGUAUAGAUAACCUGCCCUUAAGAAAGGAAUAACAGUUGGAAACGACUGCUAAUGCCUUAUAUGCCUUUAAUACAUAAGUAUGCAAGGGAAACGCUUUAGUGCUUAAGGAUGGGUCUGUAUGGUAUCAGUUAGUUGGUGGGGUAAUGGCCUACCAAGACAAUGACGCCUAACUGGUUUGAGAGGAUGAUCAGUCACACUGGAACUGAGACACGGUCCAGACUCCUACGGGAGGCAGCAGUGGGGAAUAUUGCACAAUGGACGAAAGUCUGAUGCAGCAACGCCGCGUGGAGGAUGACACAUUUCGGUGCGUAAACUCCUUUUAUAUAGGAAGAUAAUGACGGUACUAUAUGAAUAAGCACCGGCUAACUCCGUG
rnacentral:rRNA from 1 species